rnacentral:ncRNA from 1 species
AGGAGCGGAAUGAGGCGAAAGUUUCACGUUCCGUUUUGAAGACGAGUCAGAGAGGUGACUCUCUGGCUUAGUUUAAC